GGGCAUCUACCUGAGGGAGGCUAGUGCUUUCCAACAAUCUACUGAGUGGACAGUGGAAGUUGAUCCAAAAUUUCAUGAGGAUGCCAACAAAAUUGAAGAAUUGGCUGUGUUUGAGGAGCACAUUGAAUUACAUUCUACAGAUAGCUCAGUUGUGAAAGCCCCUGAUUAUCUACUGCUCACUAAGAAUGGUCGUACCUUCAACAACAUUUGGAUUGACUCUGAGUAUGCACCAUAUGGAACCUCGAGUGUAUAUUGGGUGCAUAAAAUCCGGCCCUGUGCUUGCUCAGAAGUAAGAAAAGCUUCGCUUUUACUUUUUAGAUAAAUUAAAUUCGAAUCCAUUUUCUAGUGUAACUGUUUUACCACAGGGGAGUGAAAUAUCAUAAACAUGAAUACUGGAAGUUUGGUGAGGUAUCAAUGAAGAUUAUGCAAUGAAGAUUAA